rnacentral:rRNA from 1 species
CCCUUAGAUGUCCGGGGCCGCACGCGCGCUACACUGUUCGACGCAGCGAGUCUUAACCUUGACCGAAAGGUUUGGGUAAUCUUCAGCAAAGUCGAACGUGAUGGGGAUCGAUCAUUGCAAUUAUUGAUCGUGAACGAGGAAUUCCUAGUAAGUGCAAGUCAUCAGCUUGCGCUGAUUACGUCCCUGCCCUUUGUACACACCGCCCGUCGCUACUACCGAUUGAAUGGUUUAGUGAGAUCUCUGGAUUGACGCUGGCUAGGGGGCGACCCUUGGCCAGACUGCUCGAGAAACUGCUCAAACUUGAUCAUUUAGAGGAAGUAAAAGUCGUAACA